rnacentral:rRNA from 1 species
GACGGAGGGUGCAAGCGUUGUUCGGAAUUACUGGGCGUAAAGGGCGCGUAGGCGGCUCGCUAAGUCGGAUGUGAAAACUCUGGGCUCAACCCAGAGCCUGCAUUCGAAACUGACGAGCUCGAGUUCUGGAGGGGAAAGCGGAAUUCCUGGUGUAGCGGUGAAAUGCGUAGAUAUCAGGAGGAACACCGGUGGCGAAGGCGGCUUUCUGGACAGAAACUGACGCUGAUGCGCGAAAGCUAGGGGAGCAAACAGG